CGCUUCCCAAAAUCUAUCUUAUCUCUUCGUCUUUGCCAAGUACUAAUUCCUCUCCUUCGUUUCCCAUCUCCACAGAUAAGGCGCAGAGAGGACCACGAGUCGCCAUGGUCGUCCACCUUGCCGGAGUUGGUGACGCCAUGCCUGGCUGCGAGGAGACGGCGUCGGACAGCCUGGACCUCCCCGGAAGCGGUGCGCGACGCGGAGGCGAGGAAUAAAACUUAGGGAUGUGGGGGUGUGUGCUCGCCGGCGCCGGAGAAGAAAGAGUCGGGGUCGGCGUUUAGAGGGAUGGUCGCUGGUCGGCCGGGAGGUGGCGGUCCGGCGGAGAAAGCGGCUAGGGCAGGGUGGGGCGGCAAGGCGGCGCGAUAGCGCAGCUGGCCGCGGGCGACACUGACAGGCGAUUUGGCCGGUGGUUGGUGGCCAGUUCCGGUGGUGCUCCUCUCCGGCGAAGCAGUUGUUCUUCCCCUCAUCUCCGGCUGCUUCCGACUGGAAAAGAACAACGGGCGUUGGGUCGAUCUUCCUCCUUCCUCUGUUCUUAUGCCUUUUGGACAACUACUGUAGCACCGGGGCUCCUUGCUUCGCCUGCUACUAUUCCUGCGGUGGAGCCGACUCAGCACCUUGGUCUAAAAGUGCAUACUCCCUCAUUGAGACUAUUUGGUGCUACAAUCAAGUCACGUCUGGCUCUAAUUUUGGACUUUGGAAGCAGAACGGUGCAGACUGGAGUUCUUUUUUGAGAAUAAGUUGGACAGCAUGCCUUGCUAUUGUUGGCAAUGCGGAUAUUGAUGAUUCCUGUAUAUAGUACAUACAAAGCUGGAUUACAGAUUAAGGCUUACAUGUGGUGCGAGUCUAUUCAAGAGUAAUGCAUCUCUCCCUUUUAUUAUCUGCAAGGUAGCUGCAGUUUUUUGACAGAAUAAUUGGUUAGGCUGAUCAAUUUGAAUUUAUUUCUGGUAGAUUAACCUCUGCACCAGAAGAUGACCUCUGCAUUUUGUUGUCGGUUCUAAAUAAGUUGCCGGUUUUAUUUACAAUGCAGUAUCCAUUAACGCCCAAUCCACAUUUGUAGAUGAUUGGGUACACAAUACUACACCUUGUACAGUUUUCUGAGGCAAACUAGAAAUUUCUAGGGCUAUCAUUUAUGGGUAACCAAUCCGAAUUCUAAAUGAAUAAACAUUACCAUUGUGGGGGUAUUGUUAUAGUUCCUAAAUACAGAGUCUACACAUAUGCUUUAGAAGCUGGGCUCACUAACUUGCUUUAUCCUACAGUCCUAUGUGACGAACCAUUGAAUUUCUGCAAUAUUGCAUUACAAUUUUCUGUUUUGAGCUCCCACACAUUCCUGUGAAAGUAAAAUAUGGAUAAUUCUUACCUAACAUUAUGCUCUAGCUUCAAAAGCAUUUAUAACUUUUUUUUUUACAGAAUGGAGUGUAUAUAUUAUUGAAAUAACAAGUCUUUUUUUAUAGAACUUAUCAUUAUAGGAACCGCUGCUCCACAUACAUAUUUGUUCAGAGCCAGAACCUGGCUUCUGAUCGUGUUUUUGGGUACUAGCAUGCAACCAUAAACGUAACAGAAAUCAUCAAUGAAAAUUUAUUUAAUUCAACGUUAUUGACUUUUCAUAAAAAAUAUAUAAAUCUAACUAGAACAAAAUAAAGUAUCCUAUGGAGGUUUAACAAGUACAAAGAAACAUGAAUACAUGUUAGACAAGAGUAUUGUUGCAUUCUAUGCGGUAAAAAUCUUUUUUGUUGACAACUAAAAUAAAAAUCUUAUGUGACAGCAAGGAGAAAAGGAGCAGGGAUUAUGCGGAUAUUCUACUAUUAAAAAAUCACACGCCUGAUAGAUGCUUGUGUUCGUUUUGAUUUCAUCAUUAAGCUAUUGUUAAUUGCCAUGGAUGGUUCAACUGAAUUAUUGGUUGUCCCAAAAAAACAUAACUAAUUAGUUUAUGCAUCUAAUAUUUGAUUGAGGUGCUACCUGACAUGGUUGUCCGAAGGAAGAGAUGGACACAACAUGAACACUGUCGAUAGCCAAUUUGAGGUAUACUGGCGGCGGUGGGAGAUAUGGUGAAGGCGGAGGGGCGAAGGCUGGAGAGGACCAUGAUUUGGACCUUUGCAGCGGCGCUUUCUGGGAUCGGCCCAGGCUUUGAAAUAUGCAUGUGGUGUUACCCGCAAGUGGAGCUUCCUAUCUCCAUCACUCGCGGCAGCGAAGGCGCAACUGCAACUUAUCAUUGUUGCAACUGCCAGUAUGUGCAUUUUUCUGUCGUCAUCUCAUCAAUGCCAACCUUGCAGUGCCUUUGGGUUUCAAAUUUAUGGUAGUUACUGAUACUUGACAGGGCUAUAGACCACAGGCAACUGAAGAUAAAUAUAAGCUAAAUAUGCUGCUAAGAAGCUUGAAUUUUAACGGAGAGGUUUGGCCUGCAUCAGCUUCCUAGCCCUACACAUCCACUGCUUAAUUUUGGCAGUACAAAUUCUGCAGUUGGUCUGUCUGUACUCAUCUGAAGUUGAGCUGGCCUCCAGGAUCUCCAUGAUAGAUUACACUGUACUUAUUUCUGUUUUACGUCUCCAAACCUCAUCUGCAACGUGCCCAUUUGUUUUCUUAGUCAAUAUUCAUGAGAAAAUGGCAUUGCCUAAUUUAUAUUGAUUCACAAGUUGGAAAUGUAUUCAUGCAGUCCAUCCCAACUUAUUACUUUCUUUUUUCUUUUGGCAGGCUGUAGAUUCUGAACCAUUCGAGUCUUGACCCUUUACGCGAAAGAAAAUUGAUGAUGAUUUGGUAACAUGAAGCCAGCAAGCUGUAGCAUAUAAUUAUAAUGCAGUGGAGUGAAAAAGGGAGCCAGAGAAAUGCGACCUAACUUCAUAGUUGUCAUUCUCUUAGUUUAGUUUGAGUGGAAGUACUCCCUCCCACGUCGUAAACCUCCGAUAUGUUUCGUGGGAUGGAGUAUAAAAAGUUGACUGUAAGAUUGCUAAACAAUGACUCGAUAGAAUGCUAAUGGGGGAUCCUCCUCGGGUCUUUACCACAGAUAGAUAAAACAAGCUCUUUAUUGAUGCU